UGGAACACCACAGCCAGCCUUUUCCCACUAGAUUCCCAGAGGAAGACCAAGCCCAUCUACACCACCACUGGACCUUCAGAGGAAGACUACACCCUUCUACAGAACCACACCUGUCACUCCAGGAUGACUGCAGCCACCAUUUAAUGGGACUACUACCGACAUCCUGACCCACAGGCUGUCAGGCUGUAUUCUAACUCUGUUUAUUAAACCUUAGCAAAAAUACAACAAAAGGACUAAAUAAGGAAAAACAGGCCUGGGAGCCCACCUCGUGGCUGCCUACCAGGUGGCUCAGCUUUUAGAUGGAUGCUUUGCCUUUUAUACCUCUGGCAGGGCCCAUCCCCGGGCUGUCAAGCCCGUGCCCGGGGCACUCACCCCACAGGAGCAGCGUCACCUUCCUGGCCAUCCCGCUGUCCCCAGCCAUGUGGACUGGCUGUCACUGGCUGCUGUGGCCACCGCUCCCCUGGCUGGCGGCUCUUUGGAUGAAGGGGAAGGAAGCGAGGUCACGUCUCGUCCCCCCGUGUAGCUGGCACCUACUGGGGGCAGGGUGGGGACCUGGUGGGACAUGGAGGUGAUGGUGGGACAUGGUGUUGCUAGAAUUUGGAGGCUGAGGAGGUGUAGGGAGCCAAGGAUGGGUGUCCAGGGGAAUGAGGUGCCCAGGCAUGGGCUCCCAGGGGAAUGGGUGUUCCAAGGGUUGGCUGGACUCAGACUUGGGGAUGAGGGCCCCAGAACAACAUGACCUCCAGGGAUCUAUGAUCAUGGGAUGGGGGCCAAUGGAUGAAGUGCCAGGGGAAAGGGGGGCCCUGUGAGAAUGGGGGUCCUAGGGGAAUCAAGGUCCCCAAGUGAAGGUGGGUUCCAGGGGCUGGAAUUACCAGGAUGGGGUUCUGUGGAAUGGAGGAAUGGGGUUCCUGGGGAAUUGCAGACCAGGGAUGGGGGUCCCAGGGAAGGGGGGACAGAAGGAAUGGGGGUCCCAUGGUUGGGGUCCCAGGGGAAUGGGGGG